CCAUUUGCCUCGCCGCUGGGACUCGAACCUGGGCCUCUCGAUUGUGAGUCGAGUGUGCUAACCACUACACUACGCUGUGUGUGGGUGUGUAUGUGUUGCGGAGUUCUGGGCCCCGUAUUUAUAAAACUAUGAUUCGACAUAAGGUAAACAUAAGUCCACAAGAUGGCGGACACCAUGACUUACAUGAAACAUAAGUCUUAUGUCUCACGUUAGGUCAUCAUAAACUCGCAUUCCCGUUAUGUUUGGGUGGGAGCAAGAAUAGCAUCGCUAUGUCGAAUCAUAAAGUCAACAUGUCGGAGGCAGUGGGACAGAGACGACGCCACAUGAGAAGUUUUCGUGAUCGUAGAGACGUGUUGGCUGAAGUAAGUGACUCAGAACUGAUAAGAGGUAUCAGUUAGAGCGUGCAGCCAAGAUAUAUGGGGCUGACAUGCAAGGUUUCUUAGGGAAAGUGAACUCUAGCAGGGGUGUGAGAGGGAGACGGUGACAGCUGGAUGCCGCCUUGAGGGAGACUGUGGUUACCCCAGUAAAAAGUGGCUUCUGACACUAUAUCUUCGACCUCUGCCUGCCCCACACUCCAACUACAAUAGAUGGUGCUCAACUUCUACAACCCCUUGCUACAUCAUCCACUGAGACGGUGGAUGUCUUGGCACCGCAGGUUUAGCCGUGUUAGGCGUUGGAAGUGCUGCCGUAGCAUUUCCGUCUGUACUGUUAUGAACAAUGACAACAAAUGUUAGUUAAACCAUCACAAGCAUAUUUAUUGCAGAUCCAUCUCACUAUCUAUAUAAGAGGUAAACAAUCCUCUCAAGGAGGAAGUAUCUUCCUGCCCCCAUACUCCUCAUACACAGUGUAAGUGUAUAUAGUGUGUGUGUGGUUGCCCCAUUUUUUGCUGUCUUCCUCCUGGAGGAGAGUGUUGGCUUUGUCUAUACAUAGAUAGAUAGUUAAUGUCCUUACACUUCAGUUUUAAAGAUAUUUUGUAUGCUUAUUGAUAUUUUCAGCAGUAGGGUAAUGUGCUGUUAUUGUGUUGCAGACAGGUACUGAGUGCACUUGUCAUUAAGACACAUUCAUGUGUGGAUGCAUUUCUUGUGAGCUACCAUUUCCAACCUUCCAUAAUUGAAUAUCAACAUGGGAAAUUCUUCAUAUCAAUGAGACCCAUCAAUUUGAUUAGGUUAAGUUACUGGAAGUUAUACUCUGUUAUGUGUAAGGUGGCAGAAGUUGUCCUUUAUACCUGGAAGCAUUAAAUACAAUAAAUGGAUAGUUUGUU